GACGAACGCUGGCGGCGUGCUUAACACAUGCAAGUCGAACGGAAAGGCCCUGUUCUUGUGGGGUGCUCGUGUGGCGCACGGGUGAGUAACACGUGAGUAACCUGCCCCUGACUUUGGGAUAACUCAAGGAAAAACGAGUUAUUACCGGACAGGAGCUCCUGCUGCAUGGUGGGGGGUGGAAAGUUGCGGUGGUUGGGGAUGGACGCGCGGUUCAUCAGCGUGUUGGUGGGGUAGUGGGUUACCAAGGCUCUGACGGGUAGCCGGCCUGAGAGGGUGACCGGCCACAAUGUGACUGGGAAACGACCCAUAGUCAUACGGGGGGCAGCGGUGAAAGAUAGUGCACAAUGGGCGGCAUGCUGGUGCAGCAUCGCCGCGUGCGGAAUGACUGCCUUCAGGUUGGAACCCGCUUUCGCCUGUGACGAAGCGUGAGUGACGGUAAUUGGUAAAAAAGCAACGGCUAACUACGUG
rnacentral:rRNA from 1 species